GCCCAGACUCCUACGGGAGGCAGCAGUGGGGAAUAUUGCACAAUGGGGGAAACCCUGAUGCAGCGACGCCGCGUGAGCGAUGAAGUAUUUCGGUAUGUAAAGCUCUAUCAGCAGGGAAGAAGAUGACGGUACCUGACUAAGAAGCCCCGGCUAACUACGUGCCAGCAGCCGCGGUAAUACGUAGGGGGCAAGCGUUAUCCGGAUUUACUGGGUGUAAAGGGAGCGUAGACGGCGAUGCAAGCCAGAUGUGAAAGCCCGGGGCUCAACCCCGGGACUGCAUUUGGAACUGUGUGGCUGGAGUGUCGGAGAGGCAGGCGGAAUUCCUAGUGUAGCGGUGAAAUGCGUAGAUAUUAGGAGGAACACCAGUGGCGAAGGCGGCCUGCUGGACGAUGACUGACGUUGAGGCUCGAAAGCGUGGGGAGCAAACAGGAUUAGAUACCCCAGUAAG
rnacentral:rRNA from 1 species